CCUACGGGGUGCUGCAGUGGGGAAUAUUGGACAAUGGGCGAAAGCCUGAUCCAGCCAUGCCGCGUGUGUGAAGAAGGCCUUCGGGUUGUAAAGCACUUUCAGUGGGGAAGAAAGCCUUGGGGCUAAUACCCUCGAGGAAGGACAUCACCCACAGAAGAAGCACCGGCUAACUCCGUGCCAGCAGCCGCGGUAAUACGGAGGGUGCGAGCGUUAAUCGGAAUUACUGGGCGUAAAGCGCGCGUAGGCGGUCUGAUAAGCCGGUUGUGAAAGCCCCGGGCUCAACCUGGGAACGGCAUCCGGAACUGUCAGGCUAGAGUGCAGGAGAGGAAGGUAGAAUUCCCGGUGUAGCGGUGAAAUGCGUAGAGAUCGGGAGGAAUACCAGUGGCGAAGGCGGCCUUCUGGACUGACACUGACGCUGAGGUGCGAAAGCGUGGGUAGCAAACAGGAUUAGAUACCCUUGUAGUC
rnacentral:rRNA from 1 species